AUACCAGUGUAAUCUAGUAAUAUGAAAGUGUAAUCUAUUAAAAAAAUCAUAUUACUAGAUUACACUGGUAU